rnacentral:rRNA from 1 species
CGGCGGACGGGUGAGUAACACGUGGAUAACCUACCUAUAAGACUGGGAUAACUUCGGGAAACCGGAGCUAAUACCGGAUAAUAUAUUGAACCGCAUGGUUCAAUAGUGAAAGACGGUUUUGCUGUCACUUAUAGAUGGAUCCGCGCCGCAUUAGCUAGUUGGUAAGGUAACGGCUUACCAAGGCAACGAUGCUAGCCGACCUGAGAGGGUGAUCGGCCACACUGGAACUGAGACACGGUCCAGACUCCUACGGGAGGCAGCAGUG